CCCAAACCCAAUUCUCUUUAACUUCUCUCUACUUUCUCUCUCUCUAUUCUAAGACCCACCAUUGAAGACCAAGCUUCAAGGUCCAGUAGGGAUUAAAGACUAAAUGUUUUAUCCAUCAUUCUUUGAGUAAUCUUAAGACAAUGUAGGUUCGGGCAAUUGAAGUAUAGUAGGCCACUUUGAAAGAAGACUUUGACAUAUUUCCCAAGUUAUUGGAAAAAAGCUGCUUGUUCUUGGAGAAUAAAAAAGACAGAGAUUGCUCUUCUCGUUUGUAGAGGUUCCGAUCGUUGAUGGGCUUUUAAGAUGACUUUGAAGGAAGGCUUGAAAUUCUCAUUCAUCCAAGUUGGGUAGGUCCUCACUUUCCGAGGGCAAUGCCGCUAUGAAACUUAUGAUGUUGUUCUAGUUUAAAGACUUCUAUGUUCUUUCUUUUCAUUUGAGUACUAAAUAUUGUAUAGCCUAUAUGUGGCUUUGUUACAUUGAUGUAUGGGAUAUUCCCAAUUGAUACACUCUUAUUUCUUAUGGUUAUGAGAUGAGACAUCUAGCAUAAAAAUGUCUUAUAUCAUAUAUAUCUAUGUGCAAUAAAAGUAGAAGACUACGUAA